rnacentral:misc_RNA from 1 species
GCGCAAAAUGGAUUAGCGAAGGUGGCAUUAGAGCUGGUUCCGAGGAUAUUUGAGGAAGGGCAUAGGCCAGACUGGAUCACGAUUGUCUCAAUUUUGCCUGCAGUUGCAGACAUGAGGUCUUUGAGAAUUGGCAAGGCAAUUCAUGGGUAUGUUAUCAGAGCUGGGUUUGAGUCGCUUGUGAAUGUUUCAACUGCUCUUGUGGACAUGUAUUCAAAAUGUGAAUCAGUGGGAACUGCUAGAGUAAUUUUUGAUGGG